rnacentral:rRNA from 1 species
ACAACUCUCAACAACGGAUAUCUUGGCUCCCGCAACGAUGAAGAACGCACGCGAAAUGCGAUACGUAGUGUGAAUUGCAGAAUUCCGUGAACCAUCGAAUCUUUGAACGCAUAUUUGCGCCCCACGGCCUCGGCCCAGGGCAUGUCUGCCUCAGCGUCUGUUUA